AACGUAGGUACCGAGCGUUAUCCGGAUUUACUGGGCGUAAAGCGCGUUCAGGCGGUCUGGCAAGUCGGGCAUGAAAUCUCUCGGCUCAACCGGGAGGGGUUGUCCGAUACUGCUGGGCUUGAGGGCAGUAGAGGGUGGUGGAAUUCCGGGUGUAGUGGUGAAAUGCGUAGAGAUCCGGAGGAACACCAGUGGCGAAGGCGGCCACCUGGACUGUACCUGACGCUCAAACGCGAAAGCUAGGGGAGCGAACGGG
rnacentral:rRNA from 1 species